AUCCAGCUGACGAGUCCCAAAUAAGAUGAGACGCGUAUCCUGGAU
rnacentral:hammerhead_ribozyme from 1 species